CUACGGGAUGCAGCAGGCGCGAAACCUUUACAAUGUACGUAAGUGCGAUAAGGGAACUCCCAGUGCUCAUGUAAUGCAUGGGCUUUUGUUAAGUGUAAAUAGCUUGGCGAAUAAGUGGUGGGUAAGACGGGUGCCAGCCGCCGCGGUAACACCUGCGCCACGAGUGGCAUUCACGUUUACUGGGCCUAAAGCGUUCGUAGCCGGAUAGAUAAGUCUUAAGUGAAAUCGUUGCGCUUAACAAAACGACGUGCUUGAGAUACUGUUUAUCUAGGGACCGGGAGGAGUUAGGAGUAUUCCAGAGGGAGCGGUAAAAUGCUGUAAUCUCUGGAGGACCACCUGUGGCGAAGGCGCCUAACUAGAACGGGUCCGACGGUGAGGAACGAAAGCCAGGGGAGCAAAACGGAUUAGAUACCCCCGUAGUC
rnacentral:rRNA from 1 species